UGGCUUUGCUCCCUUUGGUAACACUGCAAGUUCCCACACUUUAUUCUUUUUCAUGGAUUCAAGUUCACUUUCCAUGGCUUUCACCCACUCUUCUUGCUGCAAUCCACUUACAGCCUCUUUAUAUGUUGCAGGUUCGCCAAUGUUGAUAUCUGCUUCACUCAAAUACAACAUAAAAUCAUCUGAGAUGGCUGAUUUCCUCAGUCUUGUAGAUUUUCGAAUGAUGGGUGCAAGGAUUUCAGGAAUUGGUUCUGUAACUUGUACUAGUUCAUGUGGAGCAUCAUUAGUGGCAUUCGGUUCUUCCAUAUUGACUGUAGUAUCAUCAAUGGCAUCAUUUUGCACAACAUUCUCAGUAUUCUCAGUAACUGGUGGUAAGAGAUGACUGUGGCUUGUGUUUGGAGUCUGCACCCCAGUGUCUUCUACAUUUUCUUGUAAAUUAGAUUCAUCUUGUUCUUCAAAAACCAAGUUGUGAUUUAAGAUUCCCUCUGUUAUCUCUUCUAUGAACUUCACUUUAUUUGUCUCAAUGAAACGCAUAGAAUUUCCAGGACAAUAAAAUCUAUAUCCCUUGGUUCUCGGUGGAUAACCAAUGAAAUAGCAACUUACAGUUUUGGGAUCUAACUUCUUUUCCUGAGGAUUAUAUGCUCUUGCUUCUGCUUUACAUCCC
rnacentral:lncRNA from 1 species